rnacentral:lncRNA from 1 species
CCUAAUGUCACUUUAAAACACUUUUAAUAAGACAAACAUGAACCCAAAAAUCCAACCUCUGGAUUUGGCCAAAUUUCCCAAAAAACAUGGCACCAAAUUUUAGCUCCAAAAUUCAUGCUCAUAUGAACUACAUCUACAACAUUUGAGAUGACAAAUUUUCUAACAAAAUUUACAUUCAAAGAAGCAAGAAUAAAGCUUGUAAUAAUUACAACAUUCAAAUCAAAGACUAUGAACUACAAAACCCAAAAGGAUUCACCAACUACUAGACCUAGGCUCUUGAUACCACUUGAAGAAAAUUUUGUGAAAAACAUGUUCAUUUGAGCAACAUCUAUGGCAUGCAAUUAACAAUUAAAGGCGGAAU